UACGAAGGGGACUAGCGUUGUUCGGAAUUACUGGGCGUAAAGCGCACGUAGGCGGAUUUGUAAGUCAGGGGUGAAAUCCCGGGGCUCAACCUCGGAACUGCCUUUGAUACUGCAAAUCUCGAGUCCGAUAGAGGUGGGUGGAAUUCCUAGUGUAGAGGUGAAAGUCGUAGAUAUUAGGAAGAACACCGGUGGCGAAGGCGGCCCACUGGACCAUAACUGACGCUGAGGCGCGAAAGCUAGGGGAGCAAACAGG
rnacentral:rRNA from 1 species